CACAGUGCAGCUUGUCGAAUGGUUGAUGGAUGGAUUUGUAAGAGUUUCCUUAAUAAAACUGAUGCCUUUGUUCCCCUCAUCCAUGGAGUAGCAUUUCCUCGUGCUUUACCAAAACCUUCCCGUACUGCCAGGCAGUGGUUUCAGGUGAAGCAGCUUGCAGAGUGGGUGGAAUGCAGAAUGCACGGAGGAGCGGGAGUUAAGCCUCUGCAGGCGGCACGUGUGUGCUGGUCCUUCCCUGUGCCGGCACCACUCCGGUAACUGGAUGUGUAUAAGCCAUUGCAUGCUCACGACAGCCAACAAGGAGCCUCACAAAUGAGGUACCCAAGGAGACAGCUGAGCGUUGCAGAGAUUCCACACGUGAGGAGAGAAUGAAACUCUCAGAUGCGAACCCUGACUAUGAGCUCAAGCACAGCACCGGGUCAUUGCCUCCGAACACACCCUGGGGCACUUUCUUCUCCUGAGCUUUCGGUGACAGGCAAACACGAGCAGAGCUUCCGAGACCGAGGCUCACGGGCCGGGUAUGGACCUUCAGUUCAGCUCCUUCCAUCCUCUCAAGAGCCCCGCCAACAGCGAUCACUGCUCUUUUCUGGACAGUGGUGGCAACUGAGUCCCCUCCCAAAAGCAGAAGUGAUUCAGCCCGGGUCUGGGAACUGCUCAACGGCCAUACGUAGCUCUCCUCCCCGGGAUGGGGACAGACA
rnacentral:lncRNA from 1 species